rnacentral:rRNA from 1 species
GAUCAUGGCUCAGGACGAACGCUGGCGGCGUGCCUAACACAUGCAAGUCGAGCGAGGAGAUCCUUCGGGAUGAUCCUAGCGGCGGACGGGUGAGUAACACGUGGGCAACCUGCCUCAUAGAGAGGAAUAGCCUUCCGAAAGGGAGAUUAAUACCUCAUAACAUUGCAGUUUCGCAUGGAACAGCAAUUAAAGGAGCAAUCCGCUAUGAGAUGGGCCCGCGGCGCAUUAGCUAGUUGGUGAGGUAACGGCUCACCAAGGCGACGAUGCGUAGCCGACCUGAGAGGGUGAUCGGCCACAUUGGGACUGAGACACGGCCCAGACUCCUACGGGAGGCAGCAGUGGGGAAUAUUGCACAAUGGGGGAAACCCUGAUGCCAGCAACGCCGCGUGAGUGAUGACGGCCUUCGGGUUGUAAAGCUCUGUCUUCAGGGACGAUAAUGACGGUACCUGAGGAGGAAGCCACGGCUAACUACGUGCCAGCCGCGGC